rnacentral:rRNA from 1 species
AUUGAACGCUGGCGGCAGGCUUAACACAUGCAAGUCGAGCGGAGAUGAGGUGCUUGCACCUUAUCUUAGCGGCGGACGGGUGAGUAAUGCUUAGGAAUCUGCCUAUUAGUGGGGGACAACAUUCCGAAAGGAAUGCUAAUACCGCAUACGCCCUACGGGGGAAAGCAGGGGAUCUUCGGACCUUGCGCUAAUAGAUGAGCCUAAGUCGGAUUAGCUAGUUGGUGGGGUAAGGGCCUACCAAGGCGACGAUCUGUAGCGGGUCUGAGAGGAUGAUCCGCCACACUGGGACUGAGACACGGCCCAGACUCCUACGGGAGGCAGCAGUGGGGAAUAUUGGACAAUGGGCUGAAGCCUGAUCCAGCCAUGCCGCGUGUGUGAAGAAGGCCUUUUGGUUGUAAAGCACUUUAAGCGAGGAGGAGGCUACCUGGAUUAAUACUCUAGGAUAGUGGACGUUACUCGCAGAAUAAGCACCGGCUAACUCUGUGCCAGCAGCCGCCGUAACAC